rnacentral:rRNA from 1 species
UACGAAGGGGGCUAGCGUUGUUCGGAAUCACUGGGCGUAAAGGGCGCGUAGGCGGCUUUGUAAGUCGGGGGUGAAAGCCUGUGGCUCAACCACAGAAUUGCCUUCGAUACUGCAUGGCUUGAGACCGGAAGAGGUAAGUGGAACUGCGAGUGUAGAGGUGAAAUUCGUAGAUAUUCGCAAGAACACCAGUGGCGAAGGCGGCUCACUGGCCCGGUACUGACGCUGAGGUGCGAAAGCGUGGGGAGCAAACAGG